CACGGCCGAACAUCAUGAAGUUGGGUGUGAAACUGGUAGCGCUGUGCCUGGUUGCUCUGUAAGCCAUGACAGCGUAGGGGAUCCUAAGGUCCCCGUGUCCGCGCUCGGCUGUUGUGGCCAGAAUCUUCUGCAGGGUGCAGUUAAAUCUUUCUACCGGUCCAUCAGACUGUGGUCGAAAAGGUGUGUUGUGCAUUUUCUCAAUAACAGUGAGCCCAGUUUCUGGAACACCUCAGACUCGAAGUUCCGACCCAGAUCACUGUGCACUGUUUGUGGUGCACCAUAACCACACACCCAGUCAGUGCUCUUUCUGCUGCCUUGUGUUUCUCCCCACUCAGGUUGCCUUCAGGUAAAGAGGGGCGGAGCCACUUAAUUUGAUGUUGUGCACCUGGGCACACAGGGCCUCAGUAUUUAAAGUGGCUUCUUAUUCUCUGUCUCUCUCUCGUCAACACUACACACAUUUACCAUUGAAAUCACCAAUGAUUUACAGUUUGCACAUUCUUUGAUUAGGAGGAUUUGCUUGGGUUGUGAGAAAAUGGGGGCUUGUCUGACUUCUGAACUUGGAUUUGGCUUGAUACUUGGUAGUUGUAAAUCUAAUUAGUUGUGUAUCAGAUUGUUUGUGUAGUUUGUUUGGAACUUGAUCUGUGCAGAGUGGUGACUAGGUCAGUGGUCUUCUGGGAUGGUGUCCGAGUUUGGGAGACGCCUCGAGCUCGACAAGCCAUUGAAGAAGUGAGGCUUAGUGCGUCCCCCACAGCACCGCGAUCAGUUUAGACGUCCUGAAGACGAUCGAGGAGAACUUCGAGAUGGAAGAAUGGGUGAAACCUGCCGACGGCUCGCGCCCACUCGAAACAAAACAUACACGAGGGACACUAUAGAAGCUCAGUCUAAUACUAAAGCUGUUUUGU